GCCCGCGACUUACAAAAUCGACUGCUGC
rnacentral:sRNA from 1 species